CCCACCUGGGGCACAGGUGUUGAGAAAUCUGAUGCAUGCAGUGCUUUAGGGGUGCCUAAAUAGGGAACUGCAAGCUAGGAUCAAUUGGGGGAGUUUGUUAAUUCUUUGCUUAUUUAUAAUUCUUCAGAUUUUUGGAGUGUUUUAUUGAAAUUACAGGGAGUGAUUUGUGUGGACUGAUUAGAGUAGUCUGUGGAUCAGCACUGGUUUCCUGUUUGACUGAGAGAUUAUUUAUAGGCACUGGGAAGUGAAUGAAACCAAAUGUGUUUGAAGUGAAUAUUUUUAGUUGGUAUUUAUAGAAGAUUGUUAAAUGGUUGUGAACUGAGGCCUCGUGAUUUAUAUGGUUAUUCCCGAUGUAGGUGUGAACACCCAUGGAGUAGAGCCUGGAAGGGACCCUGUACAAGCCCAUCAGGUGGAGUGUGGAGUGGUUUUUAGGGUUGCAGAAUGUGUCGACAUUCAGAGUCCUUGUUCUGAUUGUGGGCUUGGCCUAAAGGAUUUAACCUGAGUCAGAAGGGAAGUGUGGAGAGUGGCCAGGGUAAUACCUGGAGCUGAGAAGUCAACGGAGCAUGGGAAAGAGGUGAACUGCAAGAUGGUGUGUGGGACUUCAGCUUUUUAUAAUGUGAACAUAGUCCAUUCUUGUCUUCAGUCUUGGAAAAGUGACUGUGGCCUCAGCUUUGAGACUUCUUUUUAAUCAGUGUCAUGCUCCAAUGUUUGCAAAGUACCAAGGCAAGUUUCGUGGCAGCUGUGUUUAACAAAGAGAAGCUGGGGUCUGGUUUGUUCUCUGAGCAGCGAGCAAGGUGGAACAAGGUGAACAUAUUUGUGCAAAUCAGUCCUCUGGUUCUGAUGGAGUUAAUACCAAACGUUUGAAUGCACAGAAAAGUUUGCAGUGGUGAGCUGUCAAGAUGAGCUGGUUCAAGUGUUGGAUUUGAGCACUCUGACUAACUGCAAAGCUUGUAAUGUGAUCCUGGACUCUUUCAAAGCAGAGCAGUGUGGAAAAAAACCCCAUUGAAGCUGCCUCUGUGUGUGCCCACUCUUACCAGCUUUCAUUGCUGCUGGCAAUGGUAAAGAACACAUGGAUAAAGGAAAAACUAGAAUUGCUGCAGUCUUUCCUUAACACAGGAUUGCAUUUCAGUGUGGCUCACAUUGUACCUGCCGUGAAGAAUAGAUGAAGAUUGCAAAUGCUACAACAAUGGAAAGAAUGAAAUACACUGCUCUUAUCAAGCAUGUCAUAACACAGGUUAAAAGCAAUAAAAUUACUGGAGCUUUGGAAAGUUUUACAUUUCUUGUUCUUAUCUUUGAGAGAACAGAUUUUGGUUUAGAGAAGAUCAUUUGUGUAACAGCACUCUGUUUCCUCCAGAUAGGCAAUGAAAAGCUCAGCUGCCUGAACUAAAUACCAUGCCUGGGACUGCACUUCACACAAGGUCUUCAGGACCUCAGUGACUCCAUCAGGAGGCCAUACCUAUCAGCAAUAAAACAGGCCUGCCUAGAAAUACUGUGCAUGUCAUGGUUCACACAGGAAACACUUCUCUCUCUUCCUUAUCAGAGCUUUACUGAGGUGGUCCUUGUUCUCAGCAGCCAACACAAAGCAAACCUUUUGAACUGCAAUUCCAGGGGUGCUGCUGGGGGCAACAUUUCUGGUCAUCUGUGAAAGGCAAAACAAUGACUUGCUCCCGUGAGAUGAGAAAAGCAGGAAUGUUUGUGGCUGAAAAGAAAAGCCAAUGAAGAGUUAGGUAUCUUGCCUUUUUUGCAGUACUUCAGAAUAUAAGCUUUAGAUAAUAGAUAUUUCUCAUUGAGCUUUCUCCCAGUGAAAGCGCUGAAAGUGGUUUUAGGAGCACAGUGUUCAUUUUAAACAAAGUCAGCAGCAAUGUACGGAGUCCAAUUUUAUGUUCACCAGAGUUUAUUUUGGGGGUUUUUGUCCCAAUAAUUUAUUUGAAUUUUAAAACUCUAAUCCAUGGCCUUUCAAAGAUUAGUAAGGGUAUUAUAUUUAUUCUUUCCAGAGUUUCUCAUCACCAGACAGAACAAGAAAUAUUGUGACAGAAGCAUGCAAUCUCAGAAACGUUUUUCUCCUGUAGGGAGAUCUUUCUCAGACCAGAGUAGCUAGGGGUGUUGUCAAUGCCUUAUCCAAGGAGACUUAAAAAAACACAGCAGAGUACUACUCUUAAACUUUUAUAUUGCAUCAGUCACUGAAAUGCAAGUGUGGCUUGAUUUGAAGAGUGAAAUGUUUAAUGAAAAAGAAUUUCUAAAACUAAAUGUGUCUCUAGAUCCCGUGAGAGAUUAUUCAACACCGGUCUUGAAUAAUUCAUUGAGUAAUUUAGAUAAUAUAUGAAUAGUAAUAAUCCUGCAUCUGAGUGAAGACUUAUUUCAUGUCCUUUUAUAGAAGACAGGUGCUGACUGAAGGAAACAGAACUUGAUUGGAUGCAGCCUCAGAUUAAGCUGUAGUUUGAAAAUCUCUAGUUAUUUUCAUUCCUCCUUCCUCUGUGCAGCUCUAAUGUGGAGGCAGAGACCCUGUGAUCACCAUGAAUGUGAAAACAGACAGAGUGGGGCAGAAGCCAUAACACCUGGAGAGAGAAAUAUCAGUGUAAUAUUCCCAUAUAAGCAAGGGAAAUCAGUUAUACUUGCAAUUAAAUCUUGUUUUAGCCAAUGUGUCAAAGACAAGAUUAAAUUUUGGCUUCAGAAUUUCCUUUCUGACCCUUCUGAACAUUGAGGGACUUGUGUGGAGCGUUUGAGGAUAAAUUUCAGUUCUUUAUGUCUGCAAAUAGUAUUUAUCCAUAGAACAGUCACUGAAAAAAAAAUUGCUGAAGACAUUGCAGACUCAUAGUAUGUGAGCCUAUUAAUAUACAUGAAAGCACAAAUAGAAAAGAAACCAUCAGGGCUUUCCUGUGCCCAUGCUAAGCUUUCAAGCACAGCAAAUUCCCCUUUGGUCCUGGCCCACUAGUAAAGGGUUUGCUCCCUUCUGCUGCCUGUAAAUGGAAAAUGUAACUGGAGCAGUAUCUGACCUGUCACAGUCACAUCUCCUUUAACUUCCCCCAGUGAAAAUACAAGUCAGGAUUUCUCUUGCAGUUUCAGAAAGGUGUGUUGUGGAUUUUUUGUGCUGUAUCCUGUAUCCAUUGCUGUACUACUUUAUCCAAAGAAUACCAAGCACUGCUAGCCAUGGUCUAAAAUACUCAUAAUUCUGAUUCAAUUUAUUUGUAAGUAAUAGGGCAAAUGCAGGAAAUUACCUUGUGAAGGUCCAGGAGGCUGAAUAGCAU